CGAUCGUCUCCUCGCACUACAAUGAUCUUAGUUAAUGGUGAUGAAAAUACAACAAUGUCACUGGCAGUAAUCGACGACAGAGCAAAUGUUUCUAGCAAUAUCAGCGAUGAAUCAACAAUCAAUACCACGGACAGAACCUUCGAAAUAAUGUCAUUAUUUUUGAUUACUUAUGGGUUGAUAGUAUUUGGUAUCGCCCUUUUUAUCACCGGUCGUACCCUAUGUCGUAUAGAUUGGUGCGAGUUGCUGAAGAAUGGACCAAGACUUCAGGAGAGCUCAGAUUCGUCGGAUAUAGACUAUGAGGAUACCGUGGAAGAAUUCCAUUCAUCAGAUACAGACGAAGAGGAAAGUAAAGCAUAGAUUCAACUAGAUGAGAAUUAAAGCCACGUGCACAUGGAAACUGGACAUGGACUUGGGUGAUGUAUUUCCUAUAUCGUUCCCCACUGUGGCGAUGCUAGCUAGCACGACAUUGAUUUUACACGAACAAGUUCGAAUUGCAGACGCCAUAACGAUUUUCUUCAUGAAGGAACUAUAGCGAUGGGGCGCGUGUUUGGUGCCAAAAUGGCUGAUUAACUAAGAAAAGUCUUCAUAUAUUUGUAUUUACGCCUUUAUUUUUGCAAAGAUACUAGAACAUAUUAUUUGUUUUUUGUUAAAAAUUGCUGUAUAUUUAAGUUUCAUAUUCAUUGCAUCAUUGCACAACUCUGGAAGUACUAGUAAUAUAUCAAUAUGAAAAAUGUUGCGAGAGCGCCGGUUCGACUCGCGCAUACAGUAUGUGUUUGACGUAGUAUUUACCAUGCCGUUUAUUCGGUGAUACUUGCUUUCUAUGUUGUAAUGUAACUAUAAUUGGGUGAAUUGAAAUAAACAUUUAUAUGUAAUGU